GAUGAAGAACGUAGCGAAAUGCGAUACGUAAUGUGAAUUGCAGAAUUCAGUGAAUCAUCGAGUCUUUGAACGCACAUUGCGCCCUCUGGUAUUCCGGAGGGCAUGCCUGUCCGAGCGUCAUUGCUGCCCUCAAGCACGGCUUGUGUGUUGGGCCCCGCCCCCCGAUCCCGGGGGGCGGGCCCGAAAAGCAGCGGCGGCACCGCGUCCGGUCCUCGAGCGUAUGGGGCUUUGUCACCCGCUCUGUAGGCCCGGCCGGCGCCUGCCGAUCAACCAAACUUUUUUCCAGGUUGACCUCGGAUCAGGUAGGGAUACCCGCUGAACUUAAGCAUAUCAAUAAGCGGAGGA
rnacentral:misc_RNA from 1 species